rnacentral:rRNA from 1 species
UACAGAGGGUGCGAGCGUUAAUCGGAAUUACUGGGCGUAAAGCGUGCGUAGGUGGACGUUUAAGUCGAAUGUGAAAGCCCCGGGCUUAACCUGGGAACUGCAUCCGAGACUGGACAUCUAGAGUAUGGUAGAGGAAAGUGGAAUUCCCGGUGUAGCGGUGAAAUGCGUAGAUAUCGGGAGGAACAUCAGUGGCGAAGGCGACUUUCUGGGCUAAUACUGACACUGAGGCACGAAAGCGUGGGGAGCAAACAGG